CUGCUUGGCUAUUUUAAGAUCUUAAAGUGAACUUAAAAUAAGAUUUGAGCUGAGACAAGGAAGGAUUUAUUCCACAGCUGGUUUCUUGAACCCAUCAAUCAGCAAGUUUAAUUCUAUUUUUAAUUAGUUUUUGUUAUGUUGAA